AUGGGUAACGCAGGGCUGCCGCAGCCCGGAGGCAAAGGGAGGGAAGUGGGUUGGACGCUCGGAGCAGGACGCGACGCGGAUGUUGGCCGUGCUUCGCUAGAAGGACUCUGUCUUUCCUCUCUCCUCCAGCGGCUGCACAGCUGCACACCCCGCAGCCCGCUCUCCUGCCAGGCGGGUGACAGUGACACCAGAUGGCAGCAGUGGCCUUCGGAUCCCAGCAGCUCCCAGUCAAGAGGAGGCCCCUCCCAAAACGCACUGACAGAAAACAAAUCACUGCACACAGCUGUGCAGUUAACAACAUUGCCCUUAAUGAGGCUCUGAUACUGGUUCCCCCACUGUGGAUGUGCAUCCUUCUUCAAGGAGCUCUGUGGAGCAGUACACAGCCCAAAGCCUUCUGAGAAGAGCAGAACAUGACCUCCAGGUGAGUGACAAAUAGGAUAUAGGGGAGCCAAAGGCUGUGAGCAUCUCUCAGUAAGAGCCCAGGUGGGAAGAUGGGUCACUGGUAGGCUUGUGGAGGAUUCUUGUGCUUUCCCUUGUUCCAGCUAUGCACAGUGAGCUAAACCCACAGGUUCCCUACUGUGGUCUGUGAUGUGGGCAACGGUUCUGGUUACUGAGCUCUGAAAUGGGCUCUCUGGAUGGCCACAAGCCUGCUGCUUCCUCUUUCCCAUCUCUUACGAAAGAAAUCUGCCAUGUAUCUGCAUGUUAUAUAUAUUUUCAAGCUUUGCCAGGACUCUGAUGACCUGUGGUGUCUGUGACAAGUGCAUUACAAGCUGCCUGUGGUGCUGCUGGAGCUCCUGUCCAGGCACUGCACCCAGCCUGCUCUACCUGCCUUGGAGACCACGGAGCUAUUGCUUGCCUAGAUCCCUGGUUUAGCAGGGCCAGUUGCUGGCCUGUCCAUUGAUACUCUGCUAUUGGAGCACUUCAAUAUCAUGGCUAGCCAUUGAGUGUGUUUACUCCAACCUGACCAUCAGCAGCAGCAAUGCAGAAAGCAAUUGGGAUGAAUUUCAGGCUGCAAGCAGACAAAGUUUCUUCUGAAUUUCUGGAAGGUGGUAUUGAUUGUGACCAUGGAAGCUUUAAAUGGGUUCAUGGUUCUGAAGCACUCCCAGGUGGUUGGCCAAUAUUAGUUUGAAAAAAUGGGUCUUUUUCUGACUACCACUAGAUGUAGUAAAGGAAUACUUGUCCUGCUUGAGUUUCGUAGUAUAUAAAACCUAUUUAAUUUAGAUUGGGAUUUGGCCCUCCAUAUUUAAAGCUACAGAUCUUUACAGAUGCAGGAAGGACAUAUUAUGUUGAUGCAAUUAAAGGAGUUCAUCUGGAUUUAUUU
rnacentral:lncRNA from 1 species